CCUACGGGUGGCAGCAGUGGGGGAUAUUGCACAAUGGGGGAAACCCUGAUGCAGCGACGCCGCGUGAGUGAAGAAGUAUCUCGGUAUGUAAAGCCCUAUCUGCAGGGAAGAAAAUGACAGUACCUGACCAAGAAGCCCCGGCUACCUACGUGCCAGCAGCCGCGGUAAUACGUAGGGGGCAAGCGUUAUCCGGAUGUAAUGGGUGUAAAGGGAGCGUAGUCGGUUAUGUAAGUCUGGAGUGAAAGCCCGGGGCUCAACCCCGGGACUGCUGUGGAAACUGUGUAACUGGAGUACAGGAGGGGCAGGCGGAAUUCGUGGUGUAGCGGUGAAAUGCGUAGAUAUCAGGAGGAACACCGGCGGCGAAGGCGGCCUGCUGGACUGAAACUGACGUUGAGGCUCGAAGGCGUGGGGAGCGAACAGGAUUAGAUACCCGGGUAGUC
rnacentral:rRNA from 1 species